UCUGUCUGAACCAAGACAGUCUAGGGGGAAGUGGGGGAAGGGUGAGCUCUGCCACUGGGUCACCAUGACGGGACUAUGGCUGGAGUAAUUCCGCCAGCUUACAGGCAGAACGGCGAGUUCCAACAGCACUCCAGCGAUGUUCCGACGAUUUGUCCACUCCGGACAAAGUGACCAGACAGACUGGAUCUGAUUCAUGAGUCACCCUCAGGAGGCCCAUUGCAGAACCCGGCUUUGACGAUGGGACGGGACGAUAACUUUAAUCGAAGAAGCAGCGCCCCUUAAACUGUCCCCGCUACCACCUCCAGCCAGUCUGCCAGGAGAAUUCCACACUUACCACCUUUAGAGCCAAACAAGGCACAUUAACUGCACCUGUGAUUAAUCUUUGUGAUCCCUGUGGAGACAAGCGAGCCUUCCAUCCCCUCUUUCUCCUUGACUGGGAUGAAGCCGAGAGCAAAAAGAGGGGUGUAGACAGAGAGAAAGAGAGAGAGGGUGAGAGAGUGAGAUUGAGGGAGAAAGCGAGAGAGAGUGAGAGAGGAGAAACUUUUGCUUACAUAUUGCAAUAAUCAAAAUGUCUUGUUCUUGCCACAAAGUCUCAAAUCCUGUAGGAAACAAACAAAAUUCAU